AACUUGAGUCUGGCAGUCCCUCUGUACUGACACAUGCUAGGUAAUCAGUGGAGUACUCGAGCAACCCCUUCGAGUUACAGUUUUCGUGUAUGUUGAUUAUGACGAAAAUGACGGUCUUGCUUGUUCGCCUUUCACAUAUUAAUGAGACUCUUUCAUGCGAUUUGGUCUAUUGUAUGGGUUUGAAAUGUUCAGUGUUUGCCAGUGCAUGCACGGUACUGAAAGGUGAUCCCUUUGCCUUGUUAUAUUAUUUAGGGUCUCCAUAUACGGAUAAUUGAAGUUUCAGUGUGACAACUAUCACCCCAUCUGUAGGACGUUAUGUGUGUGCUUUGUCUCCAAUGAAGGCAUUUUGUUGCUGGCGAGACAUCUCUAUAACUCUCUUAUUCUUCUGCAUUCUGCAGUUGAGUAACUAUAUUAUAUUGCAAGCCGCCUUUCGAUCAGCUCUUUAAGAUGACUGGGAGCUUGGAUAAAAGUUUUGAAGGUAAUGCGCAAAGAUGGCUUUUGUUCUCACUUAUUCAUGUAUCUCUGCUGCUAUAGCCCCGUUUAUGCUUAUAGAUAGAUAGAUUGUUCUUCCAUAGGCACUCCAAAAACUGUCAAUAGAUCUGCUGAUCAGGUACCCCCCAAGCUUCAAUUUUCCACUUACUUUCUUUGUUCAAUAUGUUUCUGAAAUGUUAGUCACAGUUAGAUGUCCGUAGUAUCACUACAAGUUGCUUCCAAUAAUGUCUGGACUUGUUCAGGGCCACAGUUAUGCCAAAGUUUCGAGUAUGUUUGCUGGAACUUAAGACAAGUGUGUUGCUUGCAAGAAGACUGUUUAUCCCAUUGAAAAGGUGGUUGUUGAUGGCACAUCAUAUCACAAAACCUGCUUCAGGUGUACUCACGGCGGUUGCAUAAUCAGUCCAUCAAACUUUGUAGCCCACGAGCACCGUCUCUACUGCAGUCACCACCACAAUCAGCUAUUCAAGCAGAAAGGAAACUUCAGUCAGCUCGGCAGCCAUGACGAACAGCUUAAAGAGUAUUUAGGGGCAGAGUGGUCAUAUUUUGAUGGUCAAGUCAAUGUAGUUAUCAGUCUCCUUUGACAAAAAUCAUGGAUUAUCAACAAGAUGCGGAUUCGGUUCUAAGGUAUACAAAAAGUUUAGUGUUGAUUUUUCUAUUCUAUGGAGAUAACUACGUUCAUUGUAAUUUUCGAGUAUGCAAUCUGAAUGGAUAACUACUGGAGACUUGCUGCUCA